GGCAUGGCGCAGCCUGGUAGCGCACCUGCAUGGGGUGCAGGGGGUCGUAGGUUCAAAUCCUACUGUC
rnacentral:tRNA from 1 species